AUUGAACGCUGGCGGCAUGCCUUACACAUGCGAGUCGAACGGCAGCACGGGUGCUUGCACCUGGUGGCGAGUGGCGAACGGGUGAGUAAUACAUCGGAACAUGUCCUGUAGUGGGGGAUAGCCCGGCGAAAGCCGGAUUAAUACCGCAUACGACCUACGGAUGAAAGUGGGGGAGCUUCGGGACUCGCGCUAUAGGGUUGGCCGAUGGCUGAUUAGCUAGUUGGUGGGGUAAAGGCCUACCAAGGCGACGAUCAGUAGCUGGUCUGAGAGGACGACCAACCACACUGGGACUGAAACACGGCCCAGACUCCUACGAGAGGCAGCAGUGGGGAAUUUUGGACAAUGGGCGAAAGCCUGAUCCAACAAUGCCGCGUAUGUGAAGGAGGCCUUCGGGUUGUAAAGCACUUUUGUCCGGAAAGAAAUCCUUGGCCCUAAUACGGUCGGGGGAUGACGGUACCGGAAGAAUAAGCACCGGCUAACUACGUG
rnacentral:rRNA from 1 species